rnacentral:misc_RNA from 1 species
GAAAUGCGAAAAGUAGUGUGAAUUGCAGAAUUCCGUGAAUCAUCGAAUCUUUGAACGCACAUUGCGCCCCUCGGUAUUCCGUGGGGCAUGCCUGUUCGAGCGUCAUUUACACCCUCAAGCUCUGCUUGGUGUUGGGCGUCUGUCCCGCUUCAUGUGUGGACUCGCCCCAAAGUCAUUGGCAGCGGUCGUGCCAGCUUCUCGCGCAGCACAUUUGCGUUUCUUGAAGCUUGGUGGAUCAGCAUCCAGUAAGUUCUUCUAUGACUUGACCUCGGAUCAGGUAGGGAUACCCGCUGAACUUAA